AUUGAACGCUGGCGGCAGGCCUAACACAUGCAAGUCGAGCGGAUGAAGGGAGCUUGCUCCUGGAUUCAGCGGCGGACGGGUGAGUAAUGCCUAGGAAUCUGCCUGGUAGUGGGGGAUAACGUCCGGAAACGGGCGCUAAUACCGAAUACGUCCUGAGGGAGAAGGUGGGGGAUCUUCGGACCUCACGCUAUCAGAUGAGCCUAGGUCGGAUUAGCUAGUUGGUGGGGUAAAGGCCUACCAAGGCGACGAUCCGUAACUGGUCUGAGAGGAUGAUCAGUCACACUGGAACUGAGACACGGUCCAGACUCCUACGGGAGGCAGCAGUGGGGAAUAUUGGACAAUGGGCGAAAGCCUGAUCCAGCCAUGCCGCGUGUGUGAAGAAGGUCUUCGGAUUGUAAAGCACUUUAAGUUGGGAGGAAGGGCAGUAAGUUAAUACCUUGCUGUUUUGACGUUACCAACAGAAUAAGCACCGGCUAACUUCGUG
rnacentral:rRNA from 1 species